rnacentral:lncRNA from 1 species
CCCGCGAUCCCCCCACUCCUCGGAGCAGGGGGGAAAAACCCCGAACAAAAGGCCUGGGAAGGUGAAUCCCAAAUGAAAGUCAUCUCUGUGUGUGGGAGCCGUGAAUCACUGGCUCGCUCUAGAAGCCGGGGUGAUUUUCCUUUCCCUUUCCUUACAUUUUCCUGCUUAAUUUUUAUCGAAAUAAUUAGUAGCCGCUUGGCUGAUGAAGUGCUUAAUGAAUGACGUACCAGCAGCGGGAAGCAAAUCCAGCCUUUACAACGUGAAACUUGCAAAGGCAGCAUAUUUCUGUUUAUUCGUGCAGUGUCUUCUGGCUCUCAAAUUAAGAAUUCCGGUCAGGGCUUUGGAGAAAUUCGUCAUGUUGCUGGCAGUGCAGAAUCUGCUUUGUGGAGAAGUCGGGUUUUGGAGAUGGGAUUUUCAGCCAAACAGCUUUUUGUAAGCAUAAAUAAAUACUUCUCUCUCUCCCUCA